CAUGGGAUCAGGCUACUUUCUUGUAGCGGCAGUUGGCAACACUGGUUGGUUUCAAGCCAACUGUAAAAACACAGCUUAAGCACAGCUGCGUGCUGUGUGUGUGUGUGUGUGUGUGUGUGUGUGUGUAUCGCAUGUGGAUUGUAUUCGCAUUUAUUUGUUUUUUAUUGUGUUUUAUUGCUUUUCAGUUACCAGCUGGAAUUUGUUCACACACAUUUCUAUGAAUAUUUUAAAUACAUGUGCUGCCCACGCUUCAAUAAUUACACAGCAUUUAUUUAUUUUUUUUCUGCUACCAUUUUUUGCAUUCAUUACAAAAUUUAUUAGCAUGUCUUUGUUAUGUUUUAUUUCAAUUGUUUGGCCAUAUAAAGUUGUUGCGGAAGUUUAUAAAGUAUUGUCGAGGGCUUUUAGAUUUAAUUGAAUUUUCGUUGAAUUAUAGACAGAACAAUAAUAACAAACUAUUUGCGCUGAUUAAAAACUACAACUAAAACAAUAACAAAAACUCAAACAUUAAUCUAGUUGGCUGUGUUUCGAUUUCGGCGAAAUUUUCUACAAACUAAAAUCAAAUUAGAAACUAACAAUCAAAAAGUGAACCAACAAAGCGUGGCACAAAUCAGCAACAAGAUUAUUUAUUAAACACGACGUUAUUUUCAAACAAUCGACUACCGAUAGACGCGAUCCGACGAUGCGUCAACAACCGCGCGAGCGCAAAGCUAAAAACUCACUAAGCUCGACGCGUCGUCAACAGCAGCAGCAGAGCUCACACGACGGCAGCAGCAGCAGCAGCAGCCUGUGUGUGUGAGUGAGAGAGCACAAUGACAUACAGCCUGCUGCUGACUGAAUGUGAGAGAGCGCUGAUGGGAGCAAGUGCAUUGCUUUGGAGAGUGGGCUGUGUCUGCCCUGUGUGCAUGUGUGUGUGUGUGUGAUUACCGGCGUGUGAAACUUUAUGCAAAUUAGCCUGUAUUUGUAUAUGCGGAAAAUAAAAGUUUAUGUCAGUUUCUUUGACAAUAAAAACAAAACAAAAAAACUGCUGAUACGGUACAAUGAGUGUGUGAUACGACCAAGCUAAAUUUUUAAACGGCCUAACACAGCAGCCGCUGCACGGACGAGAACCUGCCUCAAUUUGUUUCUGUGUUGAUAUUUUCUGUGUGUUUGUUAAAAAGUUCAAUGCACGUUGAUUACACAACAAAACCAAAAACAACAACAACAACAGCGAAGACAAUAAGAACAACAAUUUUGCGCUUUUAUUACAAACAUAAACGUUUUUAUGUAUUUUUUUUCCACACAAUUGUUGCUUGAUGCUUUUGUUACGUAAACCGUUGGGUGGCCAAAUGUUAAGUUUCGCCUCUCAUCAAAGCAGCGUCGACAUCUGCUGAUGUCAUCAACCAAUCGCGAUUGCUGCAGCGCAGAGUGCAGAAAAAUAUGCGUCGACUCUUUUUCGGCACAGUGUCAAGUUUGACAGGCCAACAAAGAAGAAGAAGAAGAGGUGGAAGAAGAAGAUGCAGAAAAAAAGAAAUUUUGCUUGCCAAUAAAAAUGAAAUUCUGUUUUGAUAUGCAAAUUCAGCAGCGCCUGAGAGGAGACACUCUUGCAAAAAUUAUACGUAUGCAUGUA